rnacentral:rRNA from 1 species
GACGAACGCUGGCGGCGCGCCUAACACAUGCAAGUCGAACGGAGCGUACUUGGUGAAGCCCUUCGGGGCCAAACGAGGUAUUGCUUAGUGGCGAACGGGUGAGUAACACGUGAGCAACCUGCCCUAAAGUGGGGGACAACAUCUGGAAACGGAUGCUAAUACCGCAUAAGACCACGGUGCCGAGUGGCACUGAGGCCAAAGGAUUUAUUCGCUUUAGGAUGGGCUCGCGGCUGAUUAGCUAGAUGGUAGGGUAACGGCCUACCAUGGCGACGAUCAGUAGCCGGACUGAGAGGUCGAACGGCCACAUUGGGACUGAGACACGGCCCAGACUCCUACGGGAGGCAGCAGUGGGGAAUAUUGGGCAAUGGGCGAAAGCCUGACCCAGCGACGCCGCGUGGAGGAAGAAGGUUUUCGGAUUGUAAACUCCUGUCUUCGGGGAAGAAAAAAAUGACGGUACCCGAGGAGGAAGCCACGGCUAACUACGUGCCAGCAGCCGCGUAACAC